rnacentral:rRNA from 1 species
GGGUCCUACGGGGCGCAGCAGUGGGGAAUAUUGCACAAUGGGGGAAACCCUGAUGCAGCGACGCCGCGUGAGUGAAGAAGUACCCCGGUACGUAAAGCUCUAUCAGCAGGGAAGAAAAUGACGGUACCUGACCAAGAAGCCCCGGCUAACUACGUGCCAGCAGCCGCGGUAAUACGUAGGGGGCAAGCGUUAUCCGGAUUUACUGGGUGUAAAGGGGGCGCAGACGGCGAUGCAAGCCAGGAGUGAAAGCCCGGGGCCCAACCCCGGGACUGCUCUUGGAACUGCGUGGCUGGAGUGACGGAGGG